UCUCGCACCAAUAGCUACGAUAAAGCUCGUUUUCAAACGCAAAAAAAAAAUGUAUUUACGGAGAGCAGGAGCAAUUGGUUUAGUAGAUAGAAAGGCACCAGCGGGGUGACGGAGGGCACGGGGGCUCGCUAAGGCCCAGACCAACGGCAGCAACGGCCGCCCGUCACACGGGGAGGCGACCGGCCGCCCGGAGAAGGAGCGCAGGGAGCGCUUUAGCCGCUUCCAAAGCGGGAUAUUUGGGGGUUGCCACUGCAGAAGAAGUCAAGAUGGCUGCCUGCCUCUCCCCGCGUCUCGCACGCCAUCAGUGGAAACACGUGAGAGCCUUUAUGACUUUGCCUUCUCAAAACCAGUUGACAGGACUCUGCCUCCAGCACACACACAACUCUAGACUCGUCAGAAGCAACCUCAAAGUGGAGGUGUUACACCCAAAGAACAAAGUAUUAACACUAUGGGAGGGAAGAGAGAAGAGAUCAUGCUGUCAGCUACCGGUUCUACUGUGCAGCAAGCAGUACAGUGUACUUGGAUUUCUGGAAACAGAGAGAUGGUUCCUAUGCAACACAGGCUAGUAGGCUGACUUCAAGAAACAUCUCCGCUCUCGCUUAGGACUGCAAGAACUUUGCAGAUAAAAAACUACUUAAGCUACUGGGGAAAAGAAAAGAGUCCAUGAUGAUCGUGAGACAGAGAACACUAGAGUCCAGAGUGUCACAGUCUGCACAGCAGCUAAUGUCUUGCCAUAAUUCCAAGCCACUUGACGCCCAUCCACUGUGACACACGACAUCCACACCCGCCGCGUUUGCUGGUUGCAUGCAGCACCGCCCAGGUCACGCCACCUCCAAUUCGGACAAAGAGUAAGGAAAAGCCACUUUCGAGGCACCGAGCGGCCGGACGCGCCCCUGUCCCACCCAAACACCCUCCCGGUGCGGCACAGGAGGCGCCUCCACCUCACCUCACAAUGCGUAAGACAGAACGCAAUCUGACAACCGCCUGGCGUUGCCCAGCUCCCUGCGCCUUCAGGUCAUCCCAGGGGUCCCCAGCUGGGCCCAGCCC